GAUGAACGCUGGCGGCGUGCCUAAUACAUGCAAGUCGAGCGAACAGACGAGGAGCUUGCUCCUCUGACGUUAGCGGCGGACGGGUGAGUAACACGUGGAUAACCUACCUAUAAGACUGGGAUAACUUCGGGAAACCGGAGCUAAUACCGGAUAAUAUAUUGAACCGCAUGGUUCAAUAGUGAAAGACGGUUUUGCUGUCACUUAUAGAUGGAUCCGCGCCGCAUUAGCUAGUUGGUAAGGUAACGGCUUACCAAGGCAACGAUGCGUAGCCGACCUGAGAGGGUGAGCGGCCACACUGGAACUGCGACCCGGUCCAGCCUCCUACGGGAGGCAGCAGUAGGGAAUCUUCCGCAAAGGGCGAAAGCCUGACGGAGCAACGCCGCGUGAGUGAUGAAGUUCUUCGGAUCGUAAACCUCUGUUAUUAGGGAAGAACAAAUGUGUAAGUAACUGUGCACAUCUUGACGGUCCCUAAUCAGAAAGCCACGCCUAACUCCGUG
rnacentral:rRNA from 1 species